rnacentral:rRNA from 1 species
AGAGUUUGAUCAUGGCUCAGGACGAACGCUGGCGGCGUGCCUAAUACAUGCAAGUCGAACGAAGCUUUCUUUCACCGAAUGCUUGCAUUCACCGAAAGAAGCUUAGUGGCGAACGGGUGAGUAACACGUAGGCAACCUGCCCAAAAGAGGGGGAUAACACUUGGAAACAGGUGCUAAUACCGCAUAACCAUGAACACCGCAUGAUGUUUAUGUAAAAGACGGCUUUUGCUGUCACUUUUGGAUGGGCCUGCGGCGUAUUAACUUGUUGGUGGGGUAAUGGCCUACCAAGGUGAUGAUACGUAGCCGAACUGAGAGGUUGAUCGGCCACAUUGGGACUGAGACACGGCCCAAACUCCUACGGGAGGCAGCAGUAGGGAAUCUUCCACAAUGGACGAAAGUCUGAUGGAGCAACGCCGCGUGAAUGAAGAAGGCCUUCGGGUCGUAAAAUUCUGUUGUCAGAGAGGAACAUGCGUGAGAGUAACUGUUCACGUAUUGACGGUAUCUGACCAGAAAGCCACGGCUAACUACGUGCCAGCAGCCGCGGUAAUACGUAGGUGGCAAGCGUUGUCCGGAUUUAUUGGGCGUAAAGGGAACGCAGGCGGUCUUUUAAGUCUGAUGUGAAAGCCUUCGGCUUAACCGAAGUAGUGCAUUGGAAACUGGAAGACUUGAGUGCAGAAGAGGAGAGUGGAACUCCAUGUGUAGCGGUGAAAUGCGUAGAUAUAUGGAAGAACACCAGUGGCGAAAGCGGCUCUCUGGUCUGUAACUGACGCUGAGGUUCGAAAGCGUGGGUAGCAAACAGGAUUAGAUACCCUGGUAGUCCACGCCGUAAACGAUGAGUGCUAAGUGUUGG